ncrna:unclassified sequences Peptidase-S11 RNA
GGUAUGAUGGCGUUUGCCAGCGAAGUUGCCCACUUAACCUCGCGGCGUACGUUGCAUAACGUGCAAAAAUACUUUUCAGAAUGCC